GAUGAACGCUGGCGGCGUGCCUAAUACAUGCAAGUCGAGCGAACAGACGAGGAGCUUGCUCCUUCGACGUUAGCGGCGGACGGGUGAGUAACACGUAGGUAACCUACCUAUAAGACUGGGAUAACUUCGGGAAACCGGAGCUAUACCGGAUAAUAUUUCGAACCGCAUGGUUCGAUAGUGAAAGAUGGCUUUGCUAUCACUUAUAGAUGGACCUGCGCCGUAUUAGCUAGUUGGUAAGGUAACGGCUUACCAAGGCAACGAUACGUAGCCGACCUGAGAGGGUGAUCGGCCACACUGGAACUGAGACACGGUCCAGACUCCUACGGGAGGCAGCAGUAGGGAAUCUUCCGCAAUGGGCGAAAGCCUGACGGAGCAACGCCGCGUGAGUGAUGAAGGUCUUCGGAUCGUAAAACUCUGUUAUUAGGGAAGAACAAACGUGUAAGUAACUGUGCACGUCUUGACGGUACCUAAUCAGAAAGCCACGGCUAACUACGUG
rnacentral:rRNA from 1 species